GACGAACGCUGGCGGCGUGCUUAACACAUGCAAGUCGACGAGCGGCGAACGGGUGAGUAACGCGUGAGUAACCUGCCCCCUCUCUGGGAUAACAGUUGGAAACGGCUGCUAAUACCGGAUAGUGGGGGAUGGGCUCGCGGCCUAUCAGCUUGUUGGUGGGGUGAUGGCCUACCAAGGCGGUGACGGGUAGCCGGCCUGGGAGGGUGGACGGCCACACUGGGACUGAGACACGGCCCAGACUCCUACGGGAGGCAGCAGUGGGGAAUAUUGCACAAUGGGCGCAAGCCUGAUGCAGCGACGCCGCGUGAGGGAUGGAGGCCUUCGGGUUGUAAACCUCUUUCGCCAGUGAAGCGGUAGCUGGAUAAGAAGCGCCGGCUAACUACGUGCCAGCAGCCGCGGUAAUUC
rnacentral:rRNA from 1 species